GUGUUCAUUUUGGCAGCAUAUAUACUAACAUUGGAACUACACAGAUAUUAGCAUGGGCACUACACAAGGAUGACAUGCAAAUGCAUGACGUUUUGUGUAUUUUU